rnacentral:rRNA from 1 species
UACGGGAGGCAGCAGUGGGGAAUAUUGCACAAUGGGCGCAAGCCUGAUGCAGCCAUGCCGCGUGUAUGAAGAAGGCCUUCGGGUUGUAAAGUACUUUCAGUCGUGAGGAAGGUGUUAAGGUUAAUAACCUUAGCAAUUGACGUUAGCGACAGAAGAAGCACCGGCUAACUCCGUGCCAGCAGCCGCGGUAAUACGGAGGGUGCGAGCGUUAAUCGGAAUUACUGGGCGUAAAGGGCACGCAGGCGGUUAAUUAAGUUGGAUGUGAAAUCCCCGGGCUUAACCUGGGAAUGGCAUUCAAGACUGGUUAGCUAGAGUCUUGUAGAGGGGGUAGAAUUCCAUGUGUAGCGGUGAAAUGCGUAGAGAUGUGGAGGAAUACCGGGUGGCGAAAGGCGGCCCCUGGGACAAAGGACUGACGCUCAUGUGCGAAAGCGUGGGGAGCAAACAGGAUUAGAUACC